AUUGAACGCUGGCGGCAUGCCUUACACAUGCAAGUCGAACGGUAACAGGUUAAGCUGACGAGUGGCGAACGGGUGAGUAAUGUAUCGGAACGUGCCCAGUCGUGGGGGAUAACUGCUCGAAAGAGCAGCUAAUACCGCAUACGACCUGAGGGUGAAAGCGGGGGAUCGCAAGCCCUCGCGCGAUUGGAGCGGCCGAUAUCAGAUUAGGUAGGUGGUGGGGUAAAGGCCUACCAAGCCUACGAUCUGUAGCUGGUCUGAGAGGACGACCAGCCACACUGGGACUGAGACACGGCCCAGACUCCUACGGGAGGCAGCAGUGGGGAAUUUUGGACAAUGGACGCAAGUCUGAUCCAGCCAUGCCGCGUGCGGGAAGAAGGCCUUCGGGUUGUAAACCGCUUUUGUCAGGGAAGAAAAGGUUCUGGUUAAUACCUGGGACUCAUGACGGUACCUGAAGAAUAAGCACCGGCUAACUACGUGCCAGCCGCCGCCGUAAAAC
rnacentral:rRNA from 1 species